CUGAGACUGAAAGCUUUUCACUUCCUCCUGGUGUCAAGGAAGGAUCUCUUUGAAAACGUGGAACUGGAAUAAUAUUUUUCGUCAGAGGCUCGCUGGAUCAGGGUAACUCGGUGACUGAGGCUUCAUCUGCACGGGUCAUCUGGAAUACUGGAUUGAUGGAUAAUCUGAUCAAUAAUCUGAAUCUGUCACACAGUUCCUGUAACCAUGAAGGAAUUGCUACAUCGGACCUGAAAGAAGAAAUGAAAAUGCCCACGUUUCAUUACAAUAACAUAUGCUUGAGAAUAAAAGAUUGCUUAAAGUAUAAAACACACUCAUGGGAUUUUCUUCAUAAACUGAACGUCUGAAUUGGAGCAAUCCCAGACCAUAAGGAUCAUAGGACAGGACGAGAUGGUACUAGUAACCAGAAGCGGCAGGAGCGUGAACAAGUCCCGAGCUGAUUACUUGAGAUAAUGCUUGCAAAGAGGCUUCGAAAGAUAUUGGAAACAAAUCUCCUGCAAGGCUUCUCAGCUCAGGAAACUAAUGAGACCACAGAGGGGCUUAAACAGUCAAAGGCUGCAAUGAAAAAA